UAGUGGCGGACGGGUGAGUAACGCGUGAGUGAAUUCUAGGUCGGGGACAACCACUGGAAACGGUGGCUAAUACCGGAUGAGCCGAAAGGUAAAAGAUUAAUUGCCUAGAGAUGAGCUCGCGUCUGAUUAGCUAGUAGGUGUGGUAAGAGCGCACCUAGGCGACGAUCAGUAGCUGGUCUGAGAGGAUGAUCAGCCACACUGGGACUGAGACACGGCCCAGACUCCUACGGGAGGCAGCAGUGGGGAAUUUUCCGCAAUGGGCGAAAGCCUGACGGAGCAAUACCGCGUGAGGGAGGAAGGCUCUUGGGUUGUAAACCUCUUUUCUCAGGGAAUAAGAACUGAAGGUACCUGAGGAAUAAGCAUCGGCUAACUCCGUGCCAGCAGCCGCGGUAAUACGGAGGAUGCAAGCGUUAUCCGGAAUGAUUGGGCGUAAAGGGUCCGCAGGUGGCCUUGUAAGUCUGCUGUUAAAGAGUGAGGCUUAACCUCAUAAAAGCAGUGGA
rnacentral:rRNA from 1 species